rnacentral:rRNA from 1 species
GACGAACGCUGGCGGCGUGCCUAACACAUGCAAGUCGAGCGAGAAACUUCGGUUUCUAGCGGCGGACGGGUGAGUAACACGUAGGCAACCUGCUUCAUAGAGGGGGAUAGCCUCCCGAAAGGGAGAUUAAUACCGCAUAACACUGCGACAACACAUGUUGAUGCAGUUAAAGGAGUAAUCCGCUAUGAGAUGGGCCUGCGGCGCAUUAGCUAGUUGGUGAGGUAACGGCUCACCAAGGCCACGAUGCGUAGCCGACCUGAGAGGGUGAUCGGCCACAUUGGAACUGAGACACGGUCCAGACUCCUACGGGAGCUG